CGCCUAAAACAUAUUACGAAUAAUACGAACAAAUACGAACAUAUUUGGACACCUCAGCAUUUACCUUUGGACACUAACUAACCCCAAAGAGACCUGCUCAUUGGUCAGGUUUUUGUUAUGUAUUCUUUGAUCUACAACUUGAUGGCGAGCUACCCAAAUCUGAGAUCCUGAUACUUCCACCCUCAAUAACAACUCCUCACCUGCAGCAAACCUCAACUACAUCCCAACCAAUAGACUUUUGGAAACCACUCAAUAGGACUCAGACCCAUAUCCCGGUUCCUUUUGUUGUUGUUUUUUUGUAUUGUUUAAAUGUCUAUUUUCUGUUAAUACAAUCGAUUGCCUUUUACUUUCA